rnacentral:rRNA from 1 species
UACAGAGGGGGCAAGCGUUGUUCGGAAUUACUGGGCGUAAAGCGUGCGCAGGCGGUUUGCUAAGACCGAUGUGAAAUCCCCGGGCUCAACCUGGGAACUGCAUUGGUGACUGGCAGGCUAGAGUAUGGCAGAGGGGGGUAGAAUUCCACGUGUAGCAGUGAAAUGCGUAGAGAUGUGGAGGAAUACCGAUGGCGAAGGCAGCCCCCUGGGCCAAUACUGACGCUCAUGCACGAAAGCGUGGGGAGCAAACAGG